UACGUAGGGGGCUAGCGUUGUCCGGAAUCAUUGGGCGUAAAGAGCGCGCAGGCGGUCGUUCAAGUCGAGUGUGAAAGCCCCCGGCUCAACUGGGGAGGGUCACUCGAUACUGAUCGACUUGAAGGCAGGAGAGGGAAGCGGAAUUCCCGGUGUAGUGGUGAAAUGCGUAGAUAUCGGGAGGAACACCAGUGGCGAAGGCGGCUUCCUGGCCUGUUCUUGACGCUGAGGCGCGAAAGCUAGGGGAGCAAACGGG
rnacentral:rRNA from 1 species